ensembl:lncRNA
UUUAGUGUGUGCUGUUUCUUUGACUUGUUUCUUAUUAACAGGACAGUGAGACCACAAUUAAACAUACAUCUUGAAUUUCUCGACAUCACUGCUGUUUUCAGUUUUGGCACAGACUGAAAAAAACCCUGUUUUAACUUUUUUUUUUCAGUUUUCUGCAAAAACAAAACUUGUGGUUACUUUGAGAAAUAAACUUGAAUCCUCGUGCUACUCUCUCUCUUUUUUUUAACUGCAGCCAAUAAGGAGUUUAACCCACCAUCAAACACACACACACACACAGUGACCAAAGGAGUGCUAUGUGUGCAUAUCAGACACCUGACAGCACAGAGACAUCUGGCCAUUUGUAAGGUCUUGAUUGGAUGUACAGAAUGACCUGUUUAACUGAGUGGACAGGUGUCGUGCCACUGUUAGCUCGCACACUGCUUCCUCCUCUGCUGAUAUGAAGCUGUCAUGUUGUGCCGGUAAUGGGUGAGGCGUCACACAUGGGAGGUGAAGUGCAUCUCCGUUUUUCUUUUUGUUUUUUUGCCUUUUUGCACACUAGCACCUGGUGUACAGGAUGGAGGUUUAAAGAGCAUGUUUUUGUGCUUUUCCCCCCCUUUUUUUCUUCUUUUUUUGACCGCACUGUUACAUCAGCGAUACACAGCACUGCACUGCCUUGUCAACAGGAUAAGACAGUGGUAGUAAAACAAAGUAAACAGUCCCCUGAUGGUAGCAAAGUCCCUGUGGUGUGAUUUACAAACAGGAUUUCUCCUCCCUUUGCUGGCCAUUCUCUGACAGGCUCAGGAAACCAAGCCUGCUGUGCCUGAUAAGGAACUGGACUAAAAGAAAUCCAUUAAACUGGGCACUGAACCUUCUUCCCAUCCUGCCCUGUCUUCUUCAGAAGCAGGAAGACCACAGGAGAGACCUGUGUGACUUUUUCUCACAGUGCAGCUGACAAUAGUGCAAUCAGCUGGUAACAAGUGUCACACCAUUGCCCUUUCCUCUGUUUGUUGCUGCCAUCUAUUUUGACUUGCCUCCAGCACAUAUCUAUCAAUUGUUCUGCAUUUUCAGAUGUCUGCAUGUCUGGGUUAGGUGAAGAGCGUUACAGCGUCUCUCCGAGGCUCUUCACACAGAGGGAGAUGAGGGAAAAAGCUGAAGAUCUGACGGGGGACAAGAAAAUCUGACAGUCGAGUAAGAGCGAUUUAACGCCACGUGGACAAAUGGC